GUCGCGCUCUCGCACUUUCAACGCGCAAAUCAAAUCAUUACCGACUACAUACCCCUAAAUAUAACCAUUUUUUAAUUACAAACAGCUGUUUUGAUUCAUAAUAAGUAAUUUCCUUUUCUAAUUGUAAGUAUAGAAAUCUGAAAAACUUGGAUAUGCGUUACAAAUCGCAGUAGUUCAGCAACCGAUCAACAUUUCAAUUUGCGCCUUUCCCCACUGCUGUCGCCUAUUGACUGUAGCGCUUGCGCGCAACUGCUUACUCGUAACUUUGGCAUGGGAGAUGUUGGUUACGGACUAUAGUAUAGCUUGAGCAGUCCAUGUAUAUAUGGUCGUAGCACACAGGUCACGCAACAGUAUUAAGCACGUGGUUAUGGCACGGUGUAAAAGAACCAUAAGGAAGUAAUCGUGAUAUUGUUCACGUGUUACACUAGUACCCUCUGCAGGAAGACAAGUAACUUUUUCUUUAAGAUCACAGCAAUUUUGUAGUGGGGGUUGCGUAGUCAGUCCACCUAUCUUUCUUACACCGUGGAAAAAGUUAUUCAAAACAUUGAUUUCUACAACAUAUUUAAAAGUCAUCAAAAUCGAUCGUCGAGUCGAGUAUCAACACUGACAAAGCACUGGUUCGUUGCUGGCAACGCCUAACGCAAGAGACUACCGUUUUGCUACUGAGAUAGCAUCAAGGAGCUGACUAUGGACGUGCUCUGAGGAAACGUACAUCAGCCCAAAAUGGCAAGCCGAGACCAAACGCUGGUGGGGACAACACGACCAAACGACGCCCAAGGACUGAUCUGAGGAUCAACGACAUCGAAGGAGGAAUUCUGGAGACAGUCAUCCGAGGAUAUUCAAUUCCGGACCAUCCUCCACCGUCGGACAUCAGGACCUAACGAGAGUUCGAGGAAAAGCAGUCAAGAGCAGCCCGAGGACCAAUUGACUGCGAGAGCAAAGGAUCUUCCAGGGAGCCGCCAGUGAAAACUUCGAACACGUAAUUAGGGAAAGAGAAUUCCUUAUAGAAGAACGCGACUUUAGCUUAAUGCAAACAGAAAACAUGGCAUCUAAUGUACUAACCGUCCUUGCACUAAUAAAAGAAUUGGGGGAAACAUCUCCUACCGAGGUGAUAGCGUUCAUCGACUCAUGUAUGUUAGCAUUAGAGUUAGUGACACCAGACGAUCGACCCCUUCUAUUGCGAGCUAUUUUGACUACAAAACUAACUGGCAGAGUGACAAUGGAACUAAGAUACCGCGAGAUAGGCAACCUAGAGACACUUAAAACAAUAUUACUUUCAUUAUACACAACAAAACGAUCGUUAGGUGCAGUACAGACUGAAUUUAGUAAUUGUAGAUAGCGAGAUUACGACGCCGUGAGAGAAUUUGCAACCAGACUAGAAAAACUGACUAGAAUUGACCGAACUCACAAUUAAUCCAACUAAUAAUAAUGUAACAAACCAAGCCCUAUCGCAAUGCAUUCAAGACCAAGCAUUCAACAUAUUCAGUGUCGGUCUUAAGGAAAAACUUAGAGUAAUAAUUAGAGCGCGCCGAUUCGAGACAUUGCAAGAGCCAAUUGCAUUCGCACUAGAAAAAGAACAAGUCAUGAGACGAGGUACGACUCGAACUUUUGGAUAUCUUAGAGGCUCCGGAAGUUCUAGAGGAAGUAUGGGUUACAGAACCUCUAUUCCACGGUGUGAAAGGUGUCACCGACAAGGGCAUCUAGCAAAAGAUUGCUACGCACGUUUAAGUUUUAGAAUCACAUGCAACUAUUACAAACGACCGAAGAGGAAGAGGAGAGGGGACUGGGGGAGAGGAUAGGGGAAAUCCUGGAGGAGUCGGGGGGAGAGGAAGAAUGGAUGAAAAGAUUGGAAAGGAUGAGGAUGGAUGCAAGAAGAGAGUUAGAGGGGAAAGAUAAGUAAAGGGAGGUUAGGUGAAUGGAUGAAUGGAUGAAUGAAUGAAUGAAUGAAUGAAUGAAUGAAUGGACGGGAGAAAGAUGGAAAAAAAAAGAUAAGGGGGAAUUCCCCGGAAGCGGGGGCGAGCUCUCUCGCUCUCUCGAUCUGGCGUGCGCUGGCGUUAGGAUAGAAUAAGAUAGGUUAAGGAUAGUUGUAAGGUAGAGUUAAGAAAGAUAAGACGACAUCUAUAAGGACUGGGAAUUAAGAAUAGGUUAAGUCAUUGAACUCUAUCCUAACUGGAGUGUGAACUCCCGUAGGAAGAAGUAGAGGCGACGGAGGUCCAAGAGAAAUGCAAAUCCUAUAGAAAAUUUAUUUGUAGAGGGGGGAAUAAACGUACUCCGUAACAUAACCUACCCGAGCAUCGCUGACCAUUGUAGACCUAAAGCAGAAAUGGGCAAAACCCUAGACUUUGAAUAAAUCUGAAGUUUGCCGAUAUGUUUGUCUCGUUUCCUUCUUUGGAAAAUGUUCAAAAGAGGAAACGAGACAAACAUAUCAACGAACUUCAGAUUUAUUCGAAGCCUAGGGUUUUGCCCAUCACUGACCUAAAGCAUUACAUAGCUGUAAUAAAUACAAUAUAAAUUAAAAUUCUGACAAAUAAUAAAAUUUAGGUCUAUACCGAAUUGUAUAUAUUUGUAUGAUCUAAAUUAUGGUAUGUAAAUUAUGUAUACUAUUUCAUUAUUGUGUCAUUAUUAUUAAUGUUUCUAUCGUUUUAUAUAUAAAUAAAAAGGAAAUAAAGUUCAAAUCUGUACGAAUACUUUUUUUACGCAUCAAAUAAUGAGAUAAAAUCAAAUAAAGAGAGUCUGUUCUCCUUCUACACAUAAAUUUGCUAUAGGAUAGUACCGGAACCACUCAUCUUGCAUCUCUCUCGGGCCGGCUUCUAUCUCACAGUUCACACUCCAGUUAGGAUAGAGCUCGAUGGGUUAACCAUAUUGUGUAAUUUUGUAAUUUUGCAAUGAGGAAGCGGAGGUUAUGUAACCCUUACGGGAACAUUAAAAUAAAUACAUACAUAUCGCAAACGA